AUACGUAGGUGACGAGCGUUAUCCGGAUUUAUUGGGCGUAAAGGGCGCGUAGGCGGUCCUGCAAGUCUGGAGUGAAAUUCCUGCUCUCAACGCGGGCGUUGCUUCUGAAACUGCCGCGCUUGAGUGCUGGAGAGGAUAUCGGAAUUCCUGGUGGAGCGGUGAAAUGCGUAGAGAUCAGGAAGAACACCAGUGGCGAAGGCGGGUAUCUGGACAGCAACUGACGCUGAGGCGCGAAAGUGUGGGGAGCAAACAGGAUUAGAUACCCUGGUAGUCCACACUGUAAACGAUGAAUGCUAGGUGUAGGAGGUAUCGACCCCUUCUGUGCCGCAGUCAACACAAUAAGCAUUCCGCCUGGGGAGUACGGUCGCAAGAUUGAAACUCAAAUGAAUUGGCGGGG
rnacentral:rRNA from 1 species